GCAUAACAUAUUCCUUCAUUGAUAAACUGUUUUAAAAGUCUUAUUCUUUAAUAAUUGUUCUAUCACCUUUCUCUCAGGAGCGCAUAUUUCAUCAUUGGAAUUCUUGAGAAGAACAAAUGUCAUGGAAUAAAACAGAGAUGGGGCCCAGAUAAGCAUAGAGUAGGUCCAGGCUGGAAGUGAUACAAUUCUGAAGUUAUAAGAAGGCAAAAUCUCUUUCCAAAAGCAAGAUAACAACAAUCCUUCCAUUUGGACAUGACAUGAGUUUCAGGGAUGGAUGUGGAGAAAGAAGAGAAUGUGAAAAAAAUUUUUUAAAAAGUCCAAGGAGGAAAAGCAGUUUCAGUUAUGGAAUUCAGGAGAAGAGGAAACCAAGGCUCUUUGACAUGAGAUUGCUUCAUAGUCAUACAGUUAAAAGGCUAACAUACACAGAAUAUGAGUCCAGGCUGCUUAUUCCAGGUAUAUCUACAUUUCUACUUUUUAGAUUUUGAUAAGAAAAAAAAAGGAGGUGGGUUAUCAAAUUGACUGAUGAAUGUGAUCAGGAAAUUUAAACAUAUACCUUUGUAUAACUGAAAAGAUAACUCUAUAACAAAAUCUGAUACAUGAAUUUAGAAAAUUGGUUUUCAUACCCCAUAACUGAGGAAGGGUAGGAAGAAUCCUGAAAGGCAUAGGUUUUGUAAUUUGGAGAAGAACACAGGAGUGUCACUUUAGUGAAAGUAAUCUUUGUUAAGGUUUCUCCUCUGCCUUAGUUGGCUUUCAGUGCUGAGCCAUAGAUUAGAAUGUUCUUUUUAUUCAGCAUGGGUUCUGAUCAGGGAAAACUUUAUAGUUGUCAUGGUAACCCACUAUAAAUGUUGACUCCUGAGGAUGAUCAUUAAAACCACAAUCACAAAGUGGAAAUAUGAGCUUCUAUAAUCUAUCAACAGAAGGUCUGGGAUUUGUAAUAGAAAACUGUGAAUGAAUUUGCUACUUCUAAGUAUAGUAUUCAUAUUAUAUUUUUCCUCCAUAUAUCCUUAAUUUUAUUUAAAUGACCAUUGAAUUUCAUUGAAAGGUAAUACUCUCAUUCCAUUAUCUCUUGUGUAAACUGAACGAGGGGCAAUUGACUCACAUUUUUGAUUGGGUUCACAGCCUAUAUACUAAUACAUAAACUAGCUACUUAUUUGGGAUUUGUGACAUUUGUGGUCAUUUGUGGUUGCUUUGUGCUCUGAUAGAAUUCACCUUUUUAUAUGGAUUGCCUUGGAAAUCUAAUCAGACUGCUUGAGAGAGAAAUGAAAAGACAAUUCUAAUAAGUUUCUGCAGAGCUACUGUUCUGCUUUAGUCACUUCCAUUUUUCACACUUAAUUAUACAAUGUUUACUAAGGUGGUAGGUUUUUUGUUUUUGUUUUUUUUUUCACUGAGAUAUGGCCUCUCCUGCUGUGCAAUCUGGGCAAAUAUAGCUUUUAGCUGGAUAAUGUGAUCUACCUGUCUGGAUAUACUUGAAGAGUCUCAGGUGAGAGGAAAUGGAAUUCUAAAGAAAUAUAGGAUUUAAAACUGGAAGAAACCUUUAAGUACCUUAUUUAGUCUCUUCCCUCCCUCCCCUCUCCCCUGAUUUUAACAGGUAAGGAAAAUGACACUGAAAGAUGUAAACUGAUUUGUUCAAGUUCAUAUCAGGAUUUAGUAUCAGAGUCUGGAUUUGCAUACAGAUUUUUUGAUUCCAAAGAUUCAGUGAUUUUUUUCUUACUGAAAUUUUUUCACAUGCUAUUGUGGUGACCAAGUAACCAAAAAACAAGUAACUAUUGUGAAACAAGGAAACAGUAAAGUUUAAAAAAUACAAAACUGUAGAGUUCUCUGGAAAUUAGGAAAGGUCUAUAGCAAUUGUGGCUCCAAUAGGAGCCUAAGAGAGUCUGUUGAUUUGAAAGUUACUGACAAGAAAUUUUCAGUCAGUUUUCUUGUCAGAGGCACUUCUGCUUAGGAGAUUGGGAGAAGAGACAAUCUGAAUGCUCCUGCAACUCAAUGAUGGUCCCCUUCACUGUAGGGCUCCUCUUCAUGACUGCUGACCUGCGCUAAAAUCAAUUGAUUUAUUGAUUGAAAACAUUUAUUAAGUACCUUUUGCUUAUCAGACACUCAGAUAAGUGCUAACAGUGCAAAAAUAGAAACUCUAGGAACUUAAUGGAGGCUACACAUAGGCAUAUAUGACAUAAUACAUAUAAGCUAUUCUUAUGGAGGAAGGCUCCAGCUUUUGGGAGGAACAAAAAAUGUCUCUUACAGAAGGUAUUGUUUGACUUGAGUUUGAAGAAAGCCUCGGAGUUUAAGAGGCAGAAGGGAAGAAGUAGUACAUUCUGCAUCUGGGAGAUAGCUAGUAAAAAUAUUUAAAGAAAGGAGAAAUGUAAGGAACAGCAAAAAAUCCCAAACACCUUGACUUUAGAGAAUAGGAAAAUGGAAGAAGACUGGAAAGAUAGAAUGAAAUCAAGUUAUGAAGUACCUUGCAUGCCAAACAGCAGUGCUAAUAUUUAAUCCCAGGAAGCCACUGGAAUUUAUUAAUUAAGGUUAAGGUUGGCGAGUGUUACAUGGACAAACAUUUGUGUUUUUAAACACUCUCAUUGGCAAUUUUGUGGAAAUUUGACUACUGAUAGAAACUUGAACAAAGAAGUGAAUUAUGAUGAAUUUUGCAAUAGUCUGAACUACCAAAAUAAAUGACACACUAAAAUAAUGUAAUGACUGUGUGAAUGAAGAAGGGGAAAAGUAUAAGAAAAAUGCAAAACAUAUGGAAAUCCUUUGGCCACAGUUUUAAUACAUGGAGUUGUUGUGAGGAUCAAAUAAGAUAAGAUAAAGAACUUAACAUAGUGUUUGACACAUAGUAGAUGCUUAAUAAAUUCUUAUUCUACUACUUUCCCUUUUAAUAUAUCAAAGGCUUAAUGGAAAUAUUGGGGUGAAAAAGAAUGGGAAAAAGAAAACAGAUUACACGGUCCAUGAAAGCCUAGAAGUUAUAUUAAAAUACUGGAAUCAGUUUGAACCCUUCUAUUCCAUUUUCAUAGGCAUAUAUGCUGGGGAUUUUGUUUGUUUUACUUGAUGGGAUAAGUUGAGAUAUGUCCAUAGGAGCCAUGGCAAUCAACUCUAUACAAGCUCUAUUUCAGGGGUUCUAACAAGAUCCUAAUACCUUUCUCAAAGUCCUUCUCUAUCCACUGAUUGAUCAUAAAUUUUAUAAUGUAAAUGUUGCAUUACCAAAAAAGAUUUCUGGCAUUCUAAUUAUUUUUGAGAACUGGUUGUUAGACAUUUUAAUAUAUUUUUACUCUACUGACAAAUGCUAUCCAUACAAAUCUAUAACUCUUGACAGAUAGGUUUUAUUUUCUCAUGGGUUCAAAUCUAAAUUUGGAAAAACAAACUUUUAUUCUCUUUGGAAUAUACCAAAAAUUGCUUUACCUUAAAUAAAUAUAUGUGAAAUUAAUAUUACUGUAAGGUUUGAGAUACUUACCAUUCACUAUUUUAGACUAAACCAUUAGAGCUACUUUAAAAUCCAUUUUAGUUCAAGAAAUAAUUAUAUUUAUUGAGCAACUAAAUUCUUGACACUCUGGAAAUGCAAAAAAAAUAUUCCUAUGGAAAUAUAAUCUAGCUAAUUAAUGCAUGUAAAGAAAAACUAAAAAGACAGAGCUUAAGCAAAGAGGAAAAAUAUGAUAAAGGUCAUAGGAGAAUUCUGAAAGAAUUCAUGAAA